GAAUCUGGUUAAAGGUUUUUCCACACUGAGAACACUGAUGUGGCUUUUCCCCAGUAUGGAUCCUCUGGUGUGUCUUGACAUGAGAAAUCUGGUUAAAGGUUUUUCCACCCUGAGAAACUUUUUCCAUUCAUUAAUGAAACUGCUUCAGGCAAAUUCAACUCGGGUCUUGCUCAGACUAAGGGCUAAAGGCUUGGAGAAUGCAGUGUUUGAAUGAAGAUGUUCCUUGAAAUGCAGCUUCAAUAAAUGUCUGCUUCAUAAUA